rnacentral:lncRNA from 1 species
AUUAUUAUUCAGAGAGUGAGAAAAGUCUUCAACAUCUUGUGAAACAGUUCAGAAGAAUAGUAUGAAUACAGGGGAAAGAAAGUAUUGAACAAAAAAUAUCUAUAACAAUAAGUUAUUUCUUAUCUUUUAAAAAUAGAUAUGUAAGAAGCUCUUCUUGUUCGUAUACAUUAUCAGAAAUGGUACUUACAAGAACUUGAGGAGGCAUUUCCUUCAAAAUGAAAUAAAACCUAGGGUUCAUGGGAACACUGGUCGCAUUCCUUGUCAUGCUGUUUCUGUGGAAGGCAUUAAAGAUGUGGUAGCAUUUUUGGAGAACUAUGCUGAAGACAACGCCAUAUUACUACCUGGGAGGAUACCUGGAGUGAAGGAUUAUGGGCAGGCCAAGCUAUUGCCGUCCAGUGUGUCCCGACACAAGGUUUACCGGCAGUAUGCUGAUGCUGGUAGGGAACAUACUCUCUGUGAAAAAUUAAUUUGUUUAAAGGUCCUACUUGUGGAAAUAGAGUAUCGAAGAGUAAAAGUAAAAGCGCAUUCUCUAUCUCAGGAUUUAAAUAAAGAAGUUGCCUUUUCUGUUAAUGUACAGUGAACAUCUCAUAAUCAAGAACAGUUUGUUCCAUGGACAUUGCCGUAUUCUUUAAAAGAUUGUGUUAAUGGUUGCUGAUUAUCCUGAAAUGAAUGACAGAACUUACAUGGUAGUAAAUUCAUGACAAGUACAGUAGUAAUAAUUCUAAAGUCUGUAAAAACUCGGCUGAGAGUACUAAUACUAGUACAAAGUUAAC